rnacentral:rRNA from 1 species
CACGUAGGAGGCAAACGUUAUCCGGAUUUACUGGGCGUAAAGCGCGUGUAGGUGGUUCUGUAAGUAGGGCGUGAAAGCUCCCGGCUCAACUGGGAGAGGCCGUUCUAAACUGCAGAGCUAGAGGAUGGUAGAGGGAGGUGGAAUUCCAGGUGUAGCGGUGGAAUGCGCAGAUAUCUGGAGGAACACCAGUGGCGAAGGCGGCCUCCUGGACCAUUCCUGACACUCAGACGCGAAAGCUAGGGUAGCAAACGGGAUUAGAUACUCCGGUAGUCCCU